AUUAUAAUGAUAUUUCACAACUGCAGUAAAACUGCAGGUAACAGUGCAUAAUUCCAGUUUCUUUUCAUCUAAGUGAAAUACCAACAGCAGUCUAUAAAUGGCAGCAUACAUCUGAGCAUGGGCUGUUUGCUUCUUUUCUCUAUUCUCUUGAUUGGAUAUAGGAGAAAAAUUAGCUUUCCGUUCAAAAGGUAGUCAGGAGCUCCUUAAUCAGGGCCAUAUACAUAAAUGAGAUUGACAGUGAGCACAGAAAAACAGAUAAAACACUACUGAUGUUAUUGGAAAACAUCUUUACUAGUUAUAUACUCACAUAUAUAAGUAAGAGAUCAAUUCAAAGAAAAUAAUAGGUUUUGGAGUAUUGCUCUGCUUUCUGUGGGGGCUAAGGACAAACAGCACUGCUCAAGAUUCUCUCCUUUUCUAUGUGUGAGCGCAUUUGUCAUCUCAUCUCUUUGCCAAACAGUUUGCCAAAGUAUGAAGUAUGAAGAGCUAACCAAAUCCCCAUGGAGAAAUGGGAGCUUAUCUGAAAAUGAUCUUGUGCUGGAAAAAAACAACAACAAUCACAAACACACAAAAAAACCAACAAACAAAUAAGCAACAAAAAAUACUCCCCCCAGAAAAACCAAACUGUGCAUGGGUUACUUGAAAAUUAUAACCUAAAGAGAUUACUGUCUCAUAGCCCUUCAAUUGCUUGUGUGAAAUGCAUUUAUGGUCUCAGCCCGAUUCCUAGCAGACAGGUGCCCACAUCAGUGGAAUCACCAGGUGGAGAUGACUAAAUUUUUCCUAUAAAAAAAGGUGAUUAUAGCUAACACAGUGUAAAACAUUAAUAUAAAGUACUUAUAGUUCCCACAGCAGAUGUUACAGUAACUUGGAAUCCUGCUCACUGGAGAAAAUUGUGCCCAGAUGCUUGUACUUAAACUUUAUGGCCCGAACUCUGCCCUCAGAUGUACACAAAACUCCCAGAGAUUUCAGAGCAACUAUUGUUCAUAUAUGUCAGUGCUGUGUCUGACUCCUUUCAGAGUUCACGUUGACCUUCAGACAUACUGUGGGACAAUGGAUCAAAAACCACCCAGCAUGGCUGAGGAUGACAGUGACAAUAUUCCAGCAGUUCGUAGGAGACCCAUCCAAUAUCAAGACCAAAAUGUACCAGGCAUUUCUCAAACAUAUAUCAAACGCCAGAUCGCUGUAUAAGCAGAAAAAAUAAGAAAGAAAGAAAAGGUUGGGAACAAGUUCAGAGUGUGAAAUGAAUUGCACAAGACCACAGAGUAGCUGGAUGGCAAAAGCGUGAUUAAUGCAACCGUACACCGGUGAAAAGUGUAUCAACUUCUGUAGCUAUUCAAAUAUCCUUAAAGAUGAGAACGGAGCAUAGUCAAAACAAGCAGAAAUGCAUGCUCUUAUUAGAAUUUCAUCAAAAUCACUGUGCUUUUAUUGCCUUUUUGAAUUUCUAAUCAGUCCUUGCAGCGAACUGUCACUGUAGAGCACAGUAGCUCUCAGUACUUGAUCAACCUACAGACAGAAGCACUUUGGAGAGACAGACAGUAGCUGGUGCAUAGCAAGAAAUGACAUCUAAGGCAUCCAUGAGAAAUGAAGCAGAGAAAGGCAGGGGCUAACAGGUAGAGGUGGUUGGGUCUAGGCACAUAACCUGUUGAUUCAGGGAAAAGCUGAAGUUAAAGGGCUGGAUGGGAGAAAAGAACUUGCCUCCUUAGGAUAUGAUGGGUUUCAGGUCAUGAAUGAAGAUGAAGACGUUGAACAAGACCAGAUCCCAUACCAACCCCUGAGGAAGACCACUAGUUACAGGCCUCCAGCCAGACUGCCACACUGAUGACAACCCUCUGAGCUCUACCAGCCAAACAGUUCUCAAUCCACCUCACGGUUCUCUCUGGGUAACUGCUGAAGGUCCCUUAUGUACAGAAGCAAAAUUAAACAGUAGCAAUGAGUUCAACUCUUCUUUUAUUAGUUCACCAAAGAUAAAAAUUUAUAUUCCCUGUAUACAGAAAAAUCUAAUGCUGUAUUACCUUUAUCUCCAUAAAGCAGAUGUAUUUAUUUCUAAUUUCUAAUACAAAAUUCUUCUACCUGAGAUCACAGAGCGUAUAGCUUUUGAUUGUGUUUGAUCAGAUUGAUUGUUCAACUUAUUAUUGCUUAUUUCAACUUCUGAAUCUUAAAUGUUUUCUGAUCAUCUUACUUGGUAUAUUUCAAUAAUGGAGAAAUCUGUAAUUUGCAUUUGUAUUCUGCUAUGCUAUCUAUACUGUGAUCUUAAUUUAUUUCUAAUAUUAUCUUAUACUAUUUACGUAAUAUGACCUAUGUAAUUAUUUAAGGUUAAAAGAUCUACAGACAAAGUGAAUAGACAUUUAGAAAGUUUUCAGCUGUUCCACUCUUCGACAUCAACAUCCCUAUUCACUGCAGAUGAAUGCUGUUCAUUGCAGGGGAGCUGGACUCGAUGACCUGUAAGGGUCCUUUCCAUUUCAAAUGAUUCGGUGAUUCUAUGAUCAAGAAUUUAGGCAACAAGCAAAGUAUUCAGAGUAUAUUUGUAUGGAAGAAAAGGAGUUAAUGCCAUUCAUUGUGAAAAACAAUACAGCUUUCUUUCUGGCUUGCUGGUUGCAGACAUCCUUUUGGCUUCUUAUAGAUUGAUGUGACACCGGAGCAAGUGGGAGCAGUUGUAUUGGUCGUUCUCACCAAACUGAAUUAGCAGCAUCUAUCUCCAGCGCAUGGAGGAAGACUGGAGGUUUCCUAUGGAGGACUUCAGAAGGCUGGGAAAUGCUGGCUGCACACUUCCACUCAGUGCUGAAUGCCCUGAGCCCUGCAGGGUAUCAGAAAUGGCAGUUGCACAAUUCAGAAAGCAUUGCAGACAGCACGAGGCAGCUCUGCGCUAGGCAUGAAGUUAGUGCCGGAAUUUCCCAGUACUUGUGGUUCAGUUCAAGUGUUUGUGACUUGAUUAUAGCAGCUUUGUAUAAACAUAAUAAAAUCCCAACCAUCUGUGUGAGGCUGUACAGUGCCUAUAUGCAAACACAGCCUCACGCACGCCGAAAUGCUCACAUACACAUGCAUGUCUUCAUGUUUGCAUGUGUGUGCGUGUGCACAGAUCCUUUGUGAUUUAAGAGGAUCGAUUUCAUGAAGCUGAAAGUGAUUAUGAAGUAAAUCAGCUGGGAGGAAAAAAAAAUAUCAGAAAAAUGUGAAUGGAAAUUAAAAGCUGUUUACUUCUAACCCCAGACAGCAUAAUCCCACAACUGAACAAAAUGGGAAGCUGUUUAAAAGAACCAAAAUGCUUAGCAAUGAAGGCAUCAGUAACAAUAGCUAGAUCUGUAACAGGUUUAGUAAGAAAACUAUUAAUAAUGAUUUAUAUUGAUAUAUAUUUUUUAUGUUGGAACCUGGAGAAAACUGACACCAUGAAGAAGAAAUAUCUGGUGAGGCAGGGCCCAAAGAAGUAGUGGGUACCUCAUCCCUGGAGGCACUUAAGGUCAGGCUGGACGGGGCUCUGAACACUGAUGGAGCUGUAGGUGUCCCUGUUUAUUGCAGGGGAGUUGGACUAGAUGGCGUUUGAGGGGCCCUUCCAACUCAAAUGAUUAUGUGACUCUAUGACACUAUGAAGUCCAAGAAAACAAAUAAAAUGGAGAUAUUGACCCAUUGUUAGGAAAGUAAAUAGCAAUGUAAAAGGAAACAAACAAACAAAAAAGAUGUGUUUAAUAAAUAACUUUGUUCUGAAUUUUAAAAAGCUAGAUAAUACAUUUACAUCAGUGGUCACUAGCAGCGUUCCCCAGGGCUCAAUUCUAGGGCCAGUCCUGUUCAACAUUUUUAUCAGUGAUUAGAUGCACAGUUGAAUGCAUCUUCAUUUGUUGUUCAGAAAUGCCCAGAUCCCAGCAUUACGGCAGCAAUAGAAGCGCAUUGUGUUAUUAUCUAUGGCCAUGCUUAUACGUUGCUUCUUUGUGACAAACUUGUGUGCAUUGCCUGGGCCUUGCAGGCAGCUAAAAUGCAGCAUCAUGGGAAGGUAAAAGCUUCUUGAAACCCAGUGAUUCUUCCAGCUGAGAAGAAAACUGACCUGCUUGCAAAGGAUCUGUUUUUUUUCCUAUAAAUACCCAGAUGCUUUUGACAAACACCUCUUAGUACAAUGGAAGAAUUGGAGCCUGCAUGAUUAUUUCCAAGACACCAGUAAAAGGAUAUGAAGAAUACUUAAAAAUGUGAAUUGUGACAAAAACAGAAUUAUGUAAACCUUGACACUCCAUUUCCACUUGCUGCCUUUUGACUGUGAAACAUCAGCUUGUAAGUGCUUGGUGCAAAAUGAGAAAGAAUAUUGUUUUCAGCAAGCUGCACUUUUUACAAAUUGCAUAAUACAACAAAAUGUACUGUAGAAGAAAUAUCCUGAGCCUAAAAAAGAGAGACAAUACCAUUAUUCAUUCUUCCUCAUUUUCCAAGAAAUUUACAAAGUUACAAAAUCAGGGGAAAUGUGUCGUCAAUGUCAUUUCACAGAAAUACAGAAAUACCAUGUUCCCAUUUGUAGAUAAUGCACAGUCUGGUAUAUUCUCUGCAAAGAAGGAAACUUCUAAGUUAAUUUCAAGCUGUUAGAAGUUCUUCCUUUGUGCAUCAAUUGGUUAUUAGACUAACACUAUAUGUCAGGAAGGAUGGAAGUAAGCACUUAUGAGAGAAUGAAUGGUUCAGUUCAUUGAAAUGGGCUUUCUCCUUUGUUUCCCUUAAAAUAAGGUGCUUCUCAUUUGCUCAGAACAACUUGUUGAGGACAAAGUAUAUGUGUGCUAGUGACAAAAUAAUUCCAAACAACUGGAUGUGACAAUUCUAUAGCUGUCCAGAAAAUUGUUUCCCGUAAAAUCUGGGACAUUUCCUCAACAUCUUCUACUCAGAAAAAGUAUUUCACCACAAGAAAUAAACAGCGUAAGCAUCCAGCUCCCUCAGAAGACCCUGAGCAAGCAGCCACUAAAUGAAAACAAAAUGCAAAUACUUCUCAUGACAACCAGAAUCACAGAAUCCUCGUAUCACAGAAUUGUAGAAUGGUUUGAGUUGGAAGGGACCUUAACCCUCUAGACCAGGUUGCUCACAGACCCAUCCAUCCUGGCCUUGAAUGCUUCCAGGGAGGGGGCAUCCACAACCUCACUGGGCAACCUGUUCCAGUAUCUCACCACCAUCACAGGAAAGAAUUUCUUCCUAAUAUCUAGUCUAAAUCUGCCCUCUUCCAGUUUAAAGCCAUUUCUCCUGUCACUUCCUGCCCUUCUAAAAAGUCCUUCCCCAGCUUUCCUGUAGACCCCCUUCAGGUACUGGUAGGCCACUGUAAGGUCUCCUCAGAGCCUUCUGUUCUCCAGGCUGAAGAGCCCCAGCUCUCUCAGCCUGUCUUUGUAGGAGAGGUGGUCCAGCCCUCUGAUCAUCUUUGUGGCCCUCCUCAGAACCUGCUCCAACAGAUCCAUGUCCUUCUUGUGUUGGGGGCCCCAGAACUGGAUGCAAAUAUAUAUGCCUUGUUAUAUAACUGAAUAUGCCUUGUUUUAAGGGGGGGAAUUGUCAGAGUAGAUUCUCUGGUGCCUAGCAGGGUCCCUGAGCAGGCACAGCAGCUUUUCUGACAACUGGACAGUUAACAUGCCGUCUUUUCUUAAUCCAGUAGUGUAUUUUCCAGAUCUUUUAGUACCACAAUAUGUAUGAAUUGUCUGUACUGCCAACAAACGUGGUUAAAUUUGGUGAAUGGGGCUAAGUAUAUUGGUAAGCUGGGAUAUAUGACAAAAUAACAUGUCUGCAGGCCAAAUAAAACUUUCUCUAGACACACAUCCCCUCUUCCAUGCAAGAUCUUGACCCCUUAAAGUGAGAAAUAUCAGAAUUUCCUUGAAAUUCAUCAGAGUUUUCCUGUGUUCGACUCUGAGGUAUUCCAAUACUCCAGUGUCAGUACUUUUUACAAGUUCUCUUGGGUGUGUUUACUCAGUACUGUAAUCAUUUUUUGACCGCAGCAUGGAAGUGGCUUACAACAAACUGUAAGAUUGCAUGUGAUGAAGUUGUACCUGCAGGUCUCUUUAUUUGCAUUUGCAGAAGCAUGGUCUCAUCUUCUCUUGGCUUCCUUGGCACUGGCAGAGGACCAGGAGGGAAAACCCCUUCUCAGCUGCAGCUGAGCUCUGUGGCCCCCUGCCCGCUCUCUGUCUCCAGGUUGUGCUUGAAAGUCCUCUGCAGAUCACAGAGCAGAGCAAGCAGUCUGGCAUGAACAGCCUUUAAAAGGAAGGAAGAACUAGAAUCACAUUCAACGUAGGCUUUUAUGACCAAACAAAACUUUUUGUUGAUUUUCAAAUGCAUUUGUUACUUGUUAGCACUCCAUUUUCCCAAUAGCAUUGUGAAGAUCAAAAAAACCCAAAAAUGCUAUAAUUUGUGGAUCCUGUAUUUUCACUGUACUGAUGAAGUUUCAGUUCCCAGAUGAAUCACAGCCAUCAGUUAAAGUAGCCUUUAAAAUGUGAAUUUGCAUUUAACAAAUACGAAAAAACAUAGCAGAGAAUGACUUUCUUUUUGUCUCCUUCAUUUUUUUAAACUCAGGAAAUAUCAUGGAUUCCUAUUUUUUUCUUUGUAUUUUUUUUUUCUCAAGGUUACUGUUAUAUUUUCAUUCAUAAAUCAGUUCCAGCUCUCAGGCUGAGAUUAAUGCAGUCAGAGCUGUGAGUCACCCCUGCUACUUGCACCUCCACCUGCACACAGAGGGGCUCUUCUGCAGCAAGACCAAAAAGUGAGCAGGCUUUGCUUCAGUGUAAGCCUGUUGAUGAAUGACAUCUUGUUCUUUAGUACCAACAAAGUAAUUUAUUGUCAGCUUUUCUAUCAGAAAUUUCAUCAAAGAUCAUGAAGUUGAAAUCACCUUCUACUCACAGUUGGAAGUUGUUUUUUUCUUAUCUUUGGCUAUAGACUUUUAUCUUACAUACUACAUAUUACCCAUCGAGAUUUCUUCUGAGUUAUCAUGACUGAAGAACUGGAAAACCACACUUAAGCUUUCAUAUUCUCACUUUCUAAUUUCUUUACUAAAUAUCCUAUGCAUUACAUCAAAAUGGUCUAUUUUAUUUUCACAAAUUUGAACAACACUGGCAGUUUAAAAAUGUGCUGGAGGUGAUCUAUUCUGAAGAUGGUUUCAAAAUUAAAACAAUUCUGGAACCUUGUUUCUGUAUGAAAUAGUGUUUUUUUUUUUCCAUUGCCUAAUACUCAUGUGAAUACUAGACUGAUAUUCAUAAACUGAAUAGAUAUUUUAAUGAGUAGAACAUAGAUGUGAAGUAGUCCAAAAUUUUUAUUAAAAAAAAUCAUAUUUAUUGUUGUGCUGUUUCAAGUCUUAAUAGCAGCUAACUCUUCUGAACAUUUCCCUCAACAAAUAAGAAAAUAAAAAGAGACUUCUCAUCUGUUAUAAAAUAUAAGGAUUCGUGCUGUAAUUACAGGUCUUGCAUAACGUUGUGUGCCAGUUGUCAGACUGAGCUUAGCACUUUUAAUGGAUGAGGUUGAAGAAGUUAAGCAAACAUUUUGCAAAACAAGUCAAAGAUCUUCUUAGCUGAGCCUUGAUGAUGGUUAAAGUCUGGUCCUUUGGGACACCAGGAGCUGGUUAUAAGCAUUCAGUGUAGAUGUUUUUGAGUAAUUUCCUUUUUGACUUUCAUAAAUCAUGCAGUACUUUAAUUAUGAAUACAUUACCAGCAGACCGUAGCCUAAGAAGGAUUAUGGAUUUUCAUUUGUUCAUAAGAUUAGCCCAUGUUUUUCUAGUUUGCUUAAGAUCUUUUGAAAUUCUUUUGCCUUAUCUCUAAACUAUAAUAGUGAUUGCACUUCAGACUGCUUAAUUGUUGCUCUUUAUCUAAUAGAUGUAGUAAUUAAAUAUUAUUUGGUAUAAAACAUGCUUUUGUUGAACACUGCAUUCAUUUUCUGACUAAAUGAAAUAAGAAAAAAGAAAAAAGACAAACGCUGGACUUUUCUCAGCUAAGCCUCAAUUUUUUCCAAGGUCAGAAAGUAGUUGUAAAAUGCAUUAAUUCUGAUAUUUUUUACAGUGAUAUUUCCAUCCAAAAGACAAUUUGUCUGCAAGUUCUGGGAAUGUUCUUGUCAGUCUAGUUUGAAAUAGGUAAUUUAGUUCAAACUGAUCAAGUAAAUGACAUGACGUCAAUUCAGUUAAUCAAGUCAUUCCAGAUAUGAUGAAUCUAGCUCAUAUAGUUGGGGAGCAUCAAAAACAAAGAUUUCAUUUUUAAGUCUUUAAAAUACAGGAGAGUGGAAUAAUCUCUUCAAAACAGGCAUGAUGCAAGGAACAAGAAGUACAAGAAGGUUUAACUUGAAGUGAGGGACUUUUUUUUUUUUUUUUGUAAUAUAUUAGGAAGAAAAGCCACAGUGAAAGAAACAAAUUGUCAGGAGAGGUUACAGAGUCUAUGUCACUGGGGAAUUUUAAAACCAGAUAUACAAGUGUCUGUCAUGGUGAAUAUACAGACCUUGUGUGGGCAUGCAGGUAUACUAAAUAUUUUGCAACUGCUGUUCUGUAAUUUUUUGUACUUUUCUUGAGCCAGUCUCACAUAAACAGCAGGAUAUUUACUUGUGCUCUAUGGAGAAAAGUAUGCAUUGAAAGAUGUAUAUAAUCCUUCUGAAGUGAUGUAGAAAAGAAGAAAUGAGAACUAGCAGGAACUUACAGUGUAUACAACAUAUAUUGCUUGUAUUGCUAAAUAUACAACUAGUGAAUGUUUAGGAUUUAGUGAUGAAAAGGGUAUAAAAAUUAGAGGCACUCACCCAGGCCAGCAUGGUAAGGAAGGGAGGCAUUCUUGACUGCUCCUUCUAAGACCAUGGUAGAGAGUAAUUCAUCUGCAAAAGCUGGUCCAGAGGAAGGUAGGUGAUAGGCCCUUUUCCAGCACAAGACUCACCAAAUAGCGGCAAGGAAAUGAAAUCUUCUGUUUCAAGACAGGAUAUAUAAUAAUGCAUUUGGAUGGAAAUGUCCUCAAUAGGGGUGGUCUUUAUGGAAUGGGGAAGAGAAUUUGGAGUAGCCCUUUGUAGACUCCAGCAGCCAUCUGUCAUGAGAUAAUAUUUGGAGUUUUAAGAUGAUUAGGCUAGCUGUAAGCAUGCCUUAGCUCAGUUUGUUUUGCUGUUGUUUAUAUUUGCUGUGCUUGUAUAUUUUAUGACUUGGCUAAGUAAACAGUAAAAUCUGCCUUUACUCUUAAUUUUUAAUUUUCAGUCAUAAAUAAUAUUUUGAACAUAUUUUGGGAUCCUGCUGGGCUACAAAUUAGACUUCUCUUUCGCAUCAGCAGUAAUGCCAUCUACUUUCUGUCUCACAAAUCCAGCGGUACUUGGAGGUCAUCCACUCCAAUACGGACUAUUUUUGGUUCCUAUCUUCUUGAAACUGGUGAAGAC
ensembl:lncRNA